UACGUAGGAGGCGAGCGUUGUCCGGAAUUACUGGGCGUAAAGAGCGCGUAGGCGGCGCGAUACGACCGAGUGUGAAAGCCCCCGGCUCAACUGGGGAGGGUCAUCGGUAACGGUCGUGCUAUGAGUGCAGGAGAGGGAAGUGGAACUCCGGGAGUAGCGGUGAAAUGCGUAGAGAUGCGGAGGAACACCGAUGGCGAAGGCAAUCCCCUGGACCUGUACUGACGCUCAUGCACGAAAGCGUGGGGAGCAAACAGG
rnacentral:rRNA from 1 species